CAUGAGGUAAUUCCAAAACCAAGCAAAUAUCCCCGAAACCUCUCUCUCUUUCUCUCUCUCUAGCCAAUGGCCCCCCUAGCUGCCAGCCUCUCCAAUUUUCGUCUCUCCCACACGGCCAAGUGCCGCCACACAUGGUUCCAGCCACCCGGCUCUCCCCGUGAGAGAAAAACUCCGUACCUUUUUUAGCUAUUGUUUUUUAAAGAUUCAAUCAAACUAACUUAGACGUCGGAAGGCCUUUGGCUAACACCCAAUGGAUGUGGUCUUUAAAUCUUAUUUGUUUCGUAAGAACCGAGAAAGAGAGAGAAGGAAUCUCAAAAGGUGAAGGAUCUACACACGAAUAUUCUCUUGUGAGAAAUUUGCACAAACAGAGCCCAUUGAGUGACUAGUUGUUUCUGUUUGUGGGGCUUUGUCUUCCUUGCUCAUAAAAAAGAAGAAGAGCUUUUACGAAUGAAAAGGUCCAGCAACAGCGAAGGAUAGAAAGUAAUACAUGGGCCCAACCCAACUGCCCCAAUCCUAGUAGUGAAGUGAGAAAGUACAUUUCCAACAACUGAGUAUGAGAGAGAGAGAGAGAGAGAGAGAGAGAGGCGUUGGUGAGGUGAGGUGAAUAACAGCGUGCAGGAUUUGAAAACAUCUUCUUCUGCCUGAUAAUUCUAUAACCGUCUACUAGUCUCAUUACAUCAGUCUGGCUGGGAUCUCCAUCGUCUCCUCUCCUCCAAACCAGUUUGUUUAAUCAUUUCAUUAGAUAGAUAGACAAAGCAAAGACAUCCGCUCUGCUCAUAUUUUUAUUUGGAAAGACAACAACGAAGAAGAAAAGAGAUCAGAUAUCAUAUAUCAGAAGAGAUGGGUGCGAUUAAGGCAGCUGUUGGAGACACUGUGCUCACCUUCUUGUGGAUUUCCUGCGCAUCGAUGCUUGGACUAGCCACCAGCUUCAUCGCAAAUGCGGUUGGGGUUCAGGACCUUCCAUGGCUGCCUCUUUUCAUCACCACCGCCCUUGUAUUCGUCCUUGUAUUUGUCUUCACCUUCCUCGGAGACGCCUUGGGUGGGGCCAGCUUCAACCCCACUGGCACUGCCUCCUUUUACGCCGCCGGCCUUGGCGCCGACACCCUCCUCUCCAUGGCCCUCCGCUUCCCUGCUCAGGCUUUCGGUGCUGUGGGUGGAGUACUAGCCAUUAACGAGGUCAUGCCACAUCAGUACAAGCACAUGCUUGGAGGGCCUUCAUUAAAAGUUGACGUGCAUACUGGAGCUAUCGCUGAGGGGGUAUUGACUUUCGUAAUCUCCUUUCUUGUCCUUAUUAUCAUACUCAAGGGUCCUCGUAGCCCAGUUUUGAAGAUGUUGCUACUUUCUGUGGUCACUGUCACAUUGGUUGUUUCCGGUUCUGUCUAUACCGGCCCUUCAAUGAAUCCAGCCAAUCAUUCCGUUCGUAGCAUUAGUUUCAAAAUUCUGUUCGUUGUAAUAUAUCACUGGAAAAGUAAUACAACAAUAGAAUUUUGAAAAGUCAAGCCACAAAAGAUUGUAGGGUUGGGCAGGUAAUCCAAGUCUGCGAAGCGGGUUUGGGGAAUUUCUGAGUAUAAAAGAAGUCAAGGCACAAAUGAUUUCAUUUUCUUGAGGCAUUUGGUUGGGCAUAUCUAAACAAUUCGCACAACACAUGGGAGCAGUUUUAUGUUUAUUGGAUUUGCCCUUUCAUAGGAGCAAUAUUGGCUGGUUGGAUCUUCCGAG